rnacentral:rRNA from 1 species
GAAACGGUGGCUAAUACCGCAUAAUAUUCUUGGAAGGCAUCUUCCGAGAAGGAAAGGAAAUAUUCGGUAAAAGAUGGGCCCGCAUCUGAUUAGCUAGUUGGUGAGAUAACAGCCCACCAAGGCGACGAUCAGUAGCCGACCUGAGAGGGUGACCGGCCACAUUGGGACUGAGACACGGCCCAAACUCCUACGGGAGGCAGCAGUGGGGAAUAUUGCACAAUGGGGGGAACCCUGAUGCAGCAACGCCGCGUGAAGGAAGACGGUUUUCGGAUUGUAAACUUCUAUCGAUAGGGAAGAAAGAAAUGACGGUACCUAAAUAAGAAGCCCCGGCUAACUACGUGCCAGCAGCCGCGGUAAUACGUAGGGGGCAAGCGUUAUCCGGAAUUACUGGGUGUAAAGGGAGAGUAGGCGGCAAGGUAAGCGAUAUGUGAAAGCCUUAGGCUUAACCUGAGGAUUGCAUAACGAACUAUCUAGCUAGAGUACAGGAGAGGAAAGCGGAAUUCCUAGUGUAGCGGUGAAAUGCGUAGAUAUUAGGAAGAACACCAGUGGCGAAGGCGGCUUUCUGGACUGAAACUGACGCUGAGGCUCGAAAGCGUGGGGAGCGAACAGGAUUAGAUACCCUGGUAGUCC